rnacentral:rRNA from 1 species
CGUGAGAAGAAGGGUUUCGGCUGAAAGUUCUGUUGUUAAAGAAGAACGUAUGAGAGUAACUGUUCAUACGUUGACGGUAUUUAACCAGAAAGUCACGGCUAACUACGUGCCAGCAGCCGCGGUAAUACGUAGGUGGCAAGCGUUAUCCGGAUUUAUUGGGCGUAAAGAGAGUGCAGGCGGUUUUCUAAGUCUGAUGUGAAAGCCUUCGGCUUAACCGGAGAAGUGCAUCGGAAACUGGAUAACUUGAGUGCAGAAGAGGGUAGUGGAACUCCAUGUGUAGCGGUGGAAUGCGUAGAUAUAUGGAAGAACACCAGUGGCGAAGGCGGCUACCUGGUCUGCAACUGACGCUGAGACUCGAAAGCAUGGGUAGCGAACAGGAUUAGAUACCCUGGUAGUCCAUGCCGUAAACGAUGAGUGCUAGGUGUUGGAGGGUUUCCGCCCUUCAGUGCCGGAGCUAACGCAUUAAGCACUCCGCCUGGGGAGUACGACCGCAAGGUUGAAACUCAAAGGAAUUGACGGGGGCCCGCACAAGCGGUGGAGCAUGUGGUUUAAUUCGAAGCUACGCGAAGAACCUUACCAGGUCUUGACAUCUUGCGCCAACCCUAGAGAUAGGGCGUUUCCUUCGGGAACGCAAUGACAGGUGGUGCAUGGUCGUCGUCAGCUCGUGUCGUGAGAUGUUGGGUUAAGUCCCGCAACGAGCGCAACCCUUGUUACUAGUUGCCAGCAUUAAGUUGGGCACUCUAGUGAGACUGCCGGUGACAAACCGGAGGAAGGUGGGGACGACGUCAGAUCAUCAUGCCCCUUAUGACCUGGGCUACACACGUGCUACAAUGGACGGUACAACGAGUCGCGAACUCGCGAGGGCAAGCAAAUCUCUUAAAACCGUUCUCAGUUCGGACUGCAGGCUGCAACUCGCCUGCACGAAGUCGGAAUCGCUAGUAAUCGCGGAUCAGCAUGCCGCGGUGAAUACGUUCCCGGGCCUUGUACACACCGCCCGUCACACCAUGAGAGUUUGUAACACCCAAAGUCGGUGGGGUAACCUUUUAGGAGCCAGCCGCCUAAGGGACAGAUGAUAGGGAAGUG